rnacentral:rRNA from 1 species
GACAGAGGAUGCAAGCGUUAUCCGGAAUGAUUGGGCGUAAAGCGUCUGUAGGUGGCUUUUUAAGUCCGCCGUCAAAUCCCAGGGCUCAACCCUGGACAGGCAGUGGAAACUACCAAGCUGGAGUACGGUAGGGGCAGAGGGAAUUUCCGGUGUAGCGGUGAAAUGCGCAGAUAUCGGGAGGAACACCAAUGGCGAAGGCAGCUCGCUGGGACGUGACUGACGCUGAGACGCGAAAGCGUGGGGAGCAAACAGG